AUUGAACGCUGGCGGCAGGCCUAACACAUGCAAGUCGAACGAGUGGCGGACGGGUGAGUAAUGUCUGGGAAACUGCCCGGUGGAGGGGGUUCACUACUGGACACGGUAGCUAAUACCGCAUACCAUCGGAUGUGCCCAGAUGGGAUUAGCUAGUAGGUGGGGUAACGGCUCACCUAGGCGACGAUCCCUAGCUGGUCUGAGAGGAUGACCAGCCACACUGGAACUGAGACACGGUCCAGACUCCUACGGGAGGCAGCAGUGGGGAAUAUUGCACAAUGGGCGCAAGCCUGAUACAGCCAUGCCGCGUGUAUGAAGAAGGCCUUCGGGUUGUAAAGUACUUUCAGCGGGGAGGCGUUACCCGCAGAAGAAGCACCGGCUAACUCCGUGCCAGCAGCCGCGGUAAUAC
rnacentral:rRNA from 1 species